rnacentral:rRNA from 1 species
GAUUAACGCUGGCGGCGUGCAUAACACAUGCAAGUCGAACGAUGAAACUUAAAUGAUUUCUUCGGAAUGAACUUAAGUGGAUUAGUGGCGGACGGGUGAGUAACGCGUGAGUAACCUGCCUUACACAAGGGGAUAGCCGUUGGAAACGACGAAUAAUACCCUAUGAAACUAUCACUUCGCAUGAAGCGAUAGUCAAAGUGUUAGCGGUGUAAGAUGGACUUGCGUCUGAUUAGCUAGUUGGUGAGAAAAAAGCCCACCAAGGCAACGAUCAGUAGCCGGCUUGAGAGAGUGUACGGCCACAUUGGGACUGAGACACGGCCCAGACUCCUACGGGAGGCAGCAGUGGGGAAUUUUGCACAAUGGGGGAAACCCUGAUGCAGCGACGCCGCGUGAUUUAGAAGGCCUUCGGGUUGUAAAAAUCUUUUGUAUAGGAAGAAAAUGACAGUACUAUACGAAUUAGGUCCGGCUAAUUACGUG